rnacentral:rRNA from 1 species
UACGUAGGGUGCGAGCGUUAAUCGGAAUUACUGGGCGUAAAGCGUGCGCAGGCGGUGAUGUAAGACAGAUGUGAAAUCCCCGGGCUUAACCUGGGAAUGGCAUUCGGGACUGCAAGGCUGGAGUGCGGCAGAGGAGACUGGAAUUCCUGGUGUAGCAGUGAAAUGCGUAGAUAUCAGGAGGAACACCGGUGGCGAAGGCGGGUCACUGGGCCGUAACUGACGCUGAGGAGCGAAAGCGUGGGGAGCGAACAGG